rnacentral:tRNA from 1 species
ACACCGGUAGCUCAAUUGGAUAGAGCGACAGACUACGGAUCUGUAGGUUAGGGGUUCGACUCCUCUCCGGUGUGCCA